rnacentral:rRNA from 1 species
UACGUAGGGGUCGAGCGUUGUCCGGAAUGAUUGGGCGUAAAGGGCGCGUAGGCGGCCUUAUAAGUCUGAAGUGAAAGUCCUGCUUUCAAGGUGGGAAUUGCUUUGGAUACUGUAGGGCUUGAGUGCAGGAGAGGUGAGUGGAAUUCCCAGUGUAGCGGUGAAAUGCGUAGAGAUUGGGAGGAACACCAGUGGCGAAGGCGACUUACUGGACUGUAACUGACGCUGAGGCGCGAAAGUGUGGGGAGCAAAC